CGAAGGAGACGUAGGUGGUGCUAGUUGGUUGUCGUCAGUCGUCGUGCCGUGAGUGUCGGGUUAAGUCCCAUAACGAGCGCAACCCUUAUCGGUUAGUUGCCAGCUGGUAAAGCAGGGGACUCUAGCGAAACUGCCACCGUAAGGUGAGAGGAAGGUGGGAUGACGUCAAAUCAGCACGGCCCUUAUGUCCAGGGCUACACACGUGUUACAAUGGCCGGCACAGAGGGCAGCUACCUGGUGACAGGAUGCUAAUCUCGAAAACCGGUCUCAGUUCGGAUCGAAGUCUGCAACUCGACUUCGUGAAGCUGGAUUCGCUAGUAAUCGCGCAUCAGCCAUGGCGCGGUGAAUACGUUCCCGGGCCUU
rnacentral:rRNA from 1 species